AUUGUAAAUAUACAACUUGCUUCUGAUGCAUUUAUGUUUUCAUGAAUUUUUCUUGCCCAAGAAUAACAAAAUAGACACAUUUCUUUCAUGAUUUCAUUAUAUUGGAGUCCUUUAAUAUUCCUACUACCAUUAAUCCCAUUCCAGAUUAUUACAAAUUUGGUGUGGUUUUCAUUGCUGAUUCCUCAGAUCAUCAUAGUACUUGUUAAUCCAUCCUUCAAUAAUUUUGAUCUCGACUUCUCUUUGUUCGACCAACCAUACUGGAUCAGUUGUUUUGUUUGCGAAAACUAUGUCCAAGCAAUGAGACCCAUUAACUGUAUGAACAGCAGUAAUGGUGUCUGAUAAAUUCUCCAACACCCCGCCACUACUGUAAGGAUCUUUCAAUCCAUUGGAGAAAAUGAUGUUGCUACCAAACCUCUGGAGAAUAAGCUUUAUGCUAUGGCCUCCGUAAUAGGUGGUGACCCAAUGAGGUCGAGGUGGAACACCAUAGAAAUCCUUGCAGUCUUGGAUGUAGCUGUUGAGAUCGAAAGGGUCAGGCGGGAACAUGGUGUCAUUCCCACGGCCAAUAGGUAUCACCAUCUCACUACAUGUCUGCCAUCUCCACCCAACUCUUGUUUCAGAUACAUUAGUCGGUGGAUUAAUAUAGCAAGAUUUGUUUCCCCUGUAAGCAAAAAGACCAGCAAAUAUUUUGCUUAGAUUAUCUUUGCCAGAAUCGGUGCUUGAGCUUCCAUCUAUGCCACUACAGAUUAUAUUUACAGGAUAUGUGGGUGGCUUAUUGUAUUGAGCAGCACCACUAUACAUGGAGUCCAAGUAGUUUUUGAGCUCAUCGGAGUCGUUCAAGGGUUUGCAAGUUUUGAAUUUCUUGCUGAGGAUUGAAAGGCCAUUGGGUUUAGAAGCAAUUUCAUCAAUUUCAGCCCAUGACUUCUUUAUUGUCCGGUAGCAAGUCUUACUAGCUUCUCUAAAAUCCUUGGAAACAAUAGAAUAGUAUCCAUCAUGUGGAGUAAUAUCAUCAAAGUAUAGAACAGGUGCUGAUGAGGCCAAAGCUCCAAGGGCU
rnacentral:misc_RNA from 1 species